rnacentral:tRNA from 1 species
GUUUUUAUAGUUGAACACAACAGUAGUUUUUCAGGCUGCAGGUCUGGGUUGAAGUCCCAGUAAGAACA